CCAACCCAAGCCGCCAUCCUCCCCACUGCCCACGCACGGCCACGCCGUUUCUGCUUCGUCUUCAAUCUGACGUUUUUUUCUCCAUGAAAGCAGCAACGUAUCCUCCAAUUCCCAUCACAGAUCUAUCAUCUCCCUCAUCAAUCUUACUGUUUAAUGCCAAAAAAUGAAACUACCUUGAUGAUCUGAAUCCGUUUCCCAAAUUUCCGGUGACCUCUCAUCUCCCAGCUAGUUUACCUUCCUCCUCCACAGAUACCACUGAGGAUGAUUAGCCGUUUCUUUUCUUCUUCUUCCAAUCUACUCACUAAUUCCUUCCUCUCCUAAAUCAUUUUUUUCCAUCAAUGACAAAAAUUGAAUCACCAUGAUGAGCUAGAUCCAUUUUUCCAGCACAUAUGGCUCCUCCACUUUUUACCGUCCACCUCCCGUGUCCUGUAUAAUUGCCAGUGCCAUGCCCUCUUCUAUUUCUUUUACAUGGAUAGGUCAGCGCCCUGCCAAACCGCUUCACUGCCAUCGCCUUGGGAGAUUUUGCAGGCUCUGUCAUCGCAGCCCGGUUGAGUUCAGCCACGGUAGCGCUUGCAAACAGCCACACCAUGUGCUAUCCAUGUGAAAGCAUGAUCGAGGACAUGACCACCUCGUCGGGAGCUUCCUCAACCGCCGAUGCGCCGCUGCUAUGCUCCUCUGCGCUGUCGUCUUCACCUCAUCAUUGUCGUUCCCAUUCCAUCACACCACCAUCUCUAGAGUUUGUGCCGUCAUCAUACGAGCAUCAUGCUGCCACUUCUCUGUCAUGGUUGAGAGGCCAUCACUCUGCUGCUCUUCUGUUCUUCCAUGUCGGGUUGCUGUCGUGUGCACAUAAAGACGCCACUGCCUCGUCGUCUAGCACAUAUUGUUGCUGCCAUGUCUCCACUAUCGUGGUUGACGCCGUUGCCGAAGAGGUUGCUGCUGCAGGUGAAGAUUUCGUCUGAAGAUCCUGUGGGUAAAGGCAAGUGUACCCUUGAACAUGUUGAUCCUAACUUGCAAAAUUAUAUUGUUUUAAAUUAUAUGCAUGAUUUGUUUCACAAAUUAUUGUGUGGGUAGUUAUAACCUACUUGUUAAUUAUUCCAUGCCUUUGAAUUAUUGUUGAUUACCUUUCAUGCCAUGUCACCCUAGUUUUCAUGUGAGUCAUAUAUGGGUAUGGACUCAGGUACUUAGAUUUGCUUAGCCCUACUCACACUAGUUUACAAGCAAAAUAUAAUAUUGACUAAUGAUCUACUUAUCACUGUUUUUAUAUAAAUUGUGUGGCUGUGUGCUAUCUUCUUGGUGGCAUGUGUUGCACCGUGUGUAGUAAUGAACUGGUGGAAAAUGUUUUAGACCGGGGCGAUGGUGGAUCUGUGUGAACCUGGGAGGUAAGCCAUCUGUGUGCGUGCUUAUCAUUGACCUGUGUGGUCGAUUGAGCGGUGUGCUCCAGAGCUGUGUGCUCCAUUUUUGUUGUGUGCUUGAGGUCCUUAGUUUAAGCAAGUCGCCCUGGUCAGUUAAGGACUUCACUUCGUGCGCCAUUGAUCUGAGCCUUACCAUGCAACCACAUGUUUUCAUGGGAAGGACCUAGCUUAGUACACUGCUUAGCUUUGGCACCGGCGGCCCAGGUGGCUAGAUGAUAGGUUUUUGGUUUGUACCAUGGGAACUUUCACCUGUGUGGUGUAGGGAGGACCGCCCAUGGGGGAAGCCGGUGUUAGGGCGAGGUAGGGGAAACGCUUUGUUACACUUUGGUGUUUAGCGGCACCGAACUGUAUCUUGUGGGUAAAGUUGUACAACCUCUGCAGAGUGUCAAUCUAUUCGAAUAGCCGCGUCCUCGGUUAUGGACAUGCUCGGUGACUUCACAUGAGGGGUAGAUUUGUGAAAGUUUUAAUUUUGGGAAAGAGUUGUGUGCAGGAAUUAAUGAAUAUAGAUGUGUUGUCCUGUGUGGACAAAGAACCUUUUGGUCUUGUGUGGACACAGUAUCCUUUUUGGGUUGGUUGGUUGGUUAAAAAUGUUGUGAUUGCAAAUGUUGCUUAAAUUAAAUUUAUAUCUAUUUAUUAUAUUUAAAUUUGCAAAUGCCUUUAUGCAAAUGAACCCUAACCGUCCUUUGAAGCCUUGUAUCAUAUAUUGCAUAUUCCCGUACACUUGCGAGUACUUUAUGUGCUCACCCUUGUUGUCUCACCAAAUUUCAGAGAAGGUCAGUUGUUUCUAGAAGUUCUGUUGCUAAGAACGUCGAAUAGGUUGCGUGCCCCAGUCGAUUGCCUGUGGUGUGUCGUUGGUGCCUCUCGCCUCUUUUUCCUCUGUUUAUCUCUGUUUGACCCUGCGUGGCAAAGAAAUUAUAAAAUCUGGUCAUAAGACCAAUGUAAAAAUUAUAUUUGUUUCCUAUUUAUUAAUAUAAUCGUGAUGUGAUUGUGAUAUUAUCUUUUGUUACUGUGUGUGCUAGCGUUGAUCUGGGACUAGCACAUUACACACAGAGGGAUCGUAAUUGGGGUCCCGACAAGGGCCAAAAGAUAGCUGAUCUAGGUUGGCUUUCUCCUCAUUGACAGAUUGCCGAUUGACUUGGAUGGUUGCCUCUAUAUCUUUUCUUUCUCGCCUAUUGGCUAUCCUUUGUCUUGCUUUCUCCAACUUGAAUUGAUGUUGUUCAAGAUAAAAAGCUGGAGUUAGCGUAGUGG